UUCAAAAUCCUUUUUCCACUUGCAAUUUAAUAAACUGCAGUUCAAAAUCCUUUUUCCACUUGCAAUUUAAUAAACUGCAGUUCAAAAUCCAUUUCCCUUUCCUGUUCGCUCCGGGAUUAGGUGCUGGAUUAGCUGCUGGAUUAGCUGCUGGAUUAGCUCUUCGAUUAACAACUUGCUGGAGGCUAUUCAAAUUAGCCACACUGUGGGAUGUAAGGAGCUCUCUGAUUGGUUGGUCAGACACAGGCUGUCUGCCAGCCUGGAUUUUUCUAGCUCAUAGCUUCGCCCUGCUAAGAAGCGUGUGUGCUUGUACAAAGGCCGUUCAGCCUCGGGAUUUACACUCGGCUCGACUCGGAUAUGUGAAGAAUGAAGGGACCCUGCAGCGAAACGGAGAGCGCAACCUCUGACUGAGUGCCUGUCUACACAGUCUGACCACCUGUUGAAGGGCUGUUUGAUGACGAUUUGGACUCCUCUGGGAGAUGAGGACACACCCACAUCUGUUCCAUACUGCAGCCAUGGAUGGUGUUACAGCUCUGAGUCAGCUUUGGGCCAUCAGACGCACACACUGGAAAACCAGCACCUGGACUUCAUGCAGGAGAGAUGGCCUCAGUGAUGUAGGUUCAUAAAAUUCAUCAGCAGCUGUGAAGAGAUGCAUUUGAAUAUCUUCUGGUUCCACUUUUCCUAACCUGGAAGCUGAGGAUGGCUGAUUUCUGACAAGGACACACACCUCAGCGCUUAUCAUGGGUGUUACAUCCUCCGUGCAGCAAUUCCAGAGAAAACGAGAGAGCAACGACCACUCAUUAAGACCAGACAGAAAUCUGUCCCUUUUUGGCAGCUGUGGAAACUUCCAAUAAGAAAGUUUGCAUUCUUAGAACAAUGCUGGGUCGUGUGUGAUGUGUCAUCAUAUGAGGAUAUUACAUUUUGACUUAAUUCUGCUCAAUUAAGUGUUUUGAUCGUUGAUCCAGUAUAGCAGCUUUGUGUUGUGCAGCAAGUUAAAACCCAUUGUCCUCACGAGCACAGCAUCUAACAACUCUCCUUAAAAAAACCGAAUGACUUUAACUGGACACAAUGGUUUCCAGUGGGAGAUACAUUCAUCACUCAUCCGUGACACUGGAGAAGUCACCUGGAUGAGUGAUAAAACAAUUUUCCAUGGAAAAUCCAGAGGAACUAAACUUUGUUGUUGUUUCUCUGGGCUCAAUUUCAGCCUCAGGAGCAUCUCUCAGAAGAAAACAUUUUGCCAAUAAUCAGAUAAAAAGAUUGUUGAACCAGGUGGUAUUCUCUGGAGUUUAAGACCAAAACUGAACUCAGUGAAUUGACAUUAGACUGGAAUUCAUAAGAUGAAUCGAAAUACUGCUGAAGCUGAUAUAUAUAUAUAUAUAUAUAAUAUAUAUA